CACCUGAACCCGGGAGGUGGAGGUUGUAGUGGGCCGAGAUCACGCCAUUGCACUCCAGCCUAGGCAACAAGAACGAAACUCUGUUUAGAAAAAAAAAAAAUUAAAAACAUUAUGUGGACAAAAUACAUUUGCAAGCUGAGACUAGCCUGUGGCACACCGGUUAGUGACCUCUAUUCCACAUGCUGAAAUAAUGCAGGCCAGACUGGGUCCAGGAAUCCACCUCUAACUCUUUCCCACUGCCAACAUUAAGAUGCAAAAGAGGAAGAGUGAUGUGGCAGCUCCUGGAAACCCAGGCAUCUCUGGGAAAGCAAGCAGUGUUAUGGCUCAUGUGUCACCUUUUACCCACAGGAGUUGAUGAUGUGGUUCCCGGUAUGCCAAGUAACUAGGAGGGAGGAGGUCAGCACUGGGGAGGGGAAGGUAACAUCCUCAGUCAAAGUUGGACCUCCCAGACCUGUUAGGCAGAGUUACAAAGAAAGACAAUGGGUUGGAAGGAGGAUGGAAACUGAGGUGCUGGCCAAGAACAUAGCAAGAUUUUGGCCCCCCAAAACAAGCUGGAAAGUGAUGUCACUUCCUAUGUAAUAAUAAUGUGGCUUCCGUGGAAACCUUCCAACUUAACACUGCAGAAUCUGAAAAGAAAUGGCAAUGAGCAGAGGUCUCCCACCCUCACGUGGAGGACAGGGUCCGCAAAGAUGAGUCACAUUGUAGAACUUCACUAUUCAGAGAAAGCCCCUUCACAUGCAGAAUCUCGCUGGUCUCUCAGGACAAUCCUGUGAGGCCCUUUCUCCUUCCCCGUGCCCAUUUCUGUAGAAUCAUUUAUUCAUUAAAUUCACUGAACACUUUCCAUGGGCUGGGCACUCUUAGGCAUUGGGAACAUAGGAGUACACAGGUCCUGGGCACUGUCCUCCCCUGUGGCUGGGUCAGUCAUCCUUACUCUGAAUCAUGGCCCAGACUGGCCUUGCCCUACUCCUCUCUAGGUAGAGCAGUGAUCUCAGGCCAACUCUUGCAUUUUGUUCCAGAAACCUUGAUUAUUUCCCUGACUAUUGGUCACUUCCCGAAAUGCACUGAACUGUGCCAGGAAUAGGAUAUGUUUUUAAGUGCUUGAGACACAGACAAGUGGCAGACGCAUACCCAAAUUCCAACCAUACUUUACUUCUGACCUAAUUUUAAUAUAUGUUUCAUGCAGUUACACAAUUAUCUGUGCAUAAUGCUCUGAGAAAAGGGAUGGCACAUACAGUUUCUCCUGAAGCGGGAAACAGAGCCCAGUUGGUAAGGUGGCCAGUCUCUAGGGCAUCUUAGAUGAACCUUGUUUCUUCCUAUUACUUUUCCUUCAUCUACUUUUUUUUUUUCUGAGAUAGAGCCUUGCUCUGUCGCCCAGGCUGGAGUGCAGUGGCAUGAUCUCGGCUCACUGCAACCUCUGCCUCCUAGGUUCAAGGGAUCUUCCUACCUCAGGCUCCUGAGUAGCCAGGAUUACAGGUGCAUGCCACCGUGCCCGGCUAAUACUUUGCAUUUUUGUAAAGACGGGGUUUCACCAUGUUGGCCAGGCGGGUCUCGAACCCCUGACCUCAAGUGAUCGGCCGCCUAAGCCUCCAAAGUGCUGGGAUUACAGGCAUGAGCCACCGUGCCCAGCCUUCCUUCAUCUACUUAUUUUCCUGUGAUGCCUCCAUGUUUUAGAGUAUGUGUCUGAGGGGCAGGAAUAUGUAUUAGAUAUAUCUAGGGCAGUCCCACCAGCUUUACAUUCUUGAGACCUCAUCCAUCAGUUCUUGUUUUGCAGACAUAUACUUCUAUUGACUACAAUGAGAAGUGUGUCUCUUAAAAAGGUAAGUCUGGCCGCGCGUGGUGGCUCACGCCUGUAAUCCCAGCACUUUGGGAGGCAGAGGCAGGUGGAUCACGAGGUCAGGAGAUCGAGACCAUCCUGGCUAACAUAGUGAAACCCCGUCUCUACUAAAAAUACAAAAAUUAGCUGGGUUCGUGGGGGUGCGUGCCUGUAGUCCCAGCUACUCAGGAGGCUGAGGCAGGAGAAUCGCUUAAACCUGGGAGGCGGAGGCUGCAGUGAGCCCAGAUCAUGCCACUGCACUCCAGCCUGGGCGACAGAGUGAGAUUCUGUCUCCAAAAAAAAAAAAAAUUAGCCAGGUGUGGCAGUGCACGCCUGUAGUCCCAGCUACUGGGGAGGCUGAGGCAGGAGAAUUGCUUGAACUGGGGAGGCAGAGGCUGCAGUGAGCCCAGAUUGUGCCACUGCACUCCAGCCUCAGUGACAGAGCGAGACCCUGUCUCAAAAAAAAAAAAAAAAAACAAGUGAACAAAGGUCUCUGGUUUUCCUAGGCAGAGGACCCUG
rnacentral:lncRNA from 1 species